GACGAACGCUGGCGGCGCGCCUAACACAUGCAAGUCGAACGGGAUCUGUCCGAAGCUUGCUUUGGACGGUUUCAGUGGCGGACGGGUGAGUAACGCGUGAGGAACCUGCCUUUCAGAGGGGGAUAACGUCCGGAAACGGACGCUAAUACCGCAUGACAUCCCGGGAUCACAUGGUUUUGGGAUCAAAGGAGCAAUCCGCUGAGAGAUGGACUCGCGUCCGAUUAGCCAGUUGGCGGGGUAACGGCCCACCAAAGCUGCGAUCGGUAGCCGGACUGAGAGGUUGAACGGCCACAUUGGGACUGAGACACGGCCCAGACUCCUACGGGAGGCAGCAGUGGGGGAUCUUGCACAAUGGAGGAAACUCUGAUGCAGCGACGCCGCGUGAGGGAAGACGGUUUUUGGAUUGUAAACCUCUGUCCUCGGUGACGAUAAUGACGGUAGCCGAGGAGGAAGCUCCGGCUAACUACGUGCCAGCAGCCGCGGUAAUACGUAGGGAGCGAGCGUUGUCCGGAUUUACUGGGUGUAAAGGGUGCGUAGGCGGCUGAACAAGUCAGGUGUG
rnacentral:rRNA from 1 species